UACGAAGGGGCUAGCGUUGUUCGGAAUCACUGGGCGUAAAGGGCGCGUAGGCGGCUUUGUAAGUCGGGGGUGAAAGCCUGUGGCUCAACCACAGAAUUGCCUUCGAUACUGCAUGGCUUGAGACCGGAAGAGGUAAGUGGAACUGCGAGUGUAGAGGUGAAAUUCGUAGAUAUUCGCAAGAACACCAGUGGCGAAGGCGGCUUACUGGUCCGGUUCUGACGCUGAGGCGCGAAAGCGUGGGGAGCAAACAGG
rnacentral:rRNA from 1 species